rnacentral:rRNA from 1 species
CCUACGGGCGGCAGCAGUGGGGAAUAUUGGACAAUGGGCGAAAGCCUGAUCCAGCCAUGCCGCGUGUGUGAAGAAGGCCUUCGGGUUGUAAAGCACUUUCAGUGGGGAAGAAAGCCUUGGGGCUAAUACCCUCGAGGAAGGACAUCACCCACAGAAGAAGCACCGGCUAACUCCGUGCCAGCAGCCGCGGUAAUACGGAGGGUGCGAGCGUUAAUCGGAAUUACUGGGCGUAAAGCGCGCGUAGGCGGUCUGAUAAGCCGGUUGUGAAAGCCCCGGGCUCAACCUGGGAACGGCAUCCGGAACUGUCAGGCUAGAGUGCAGGAGAGGAAGGUAGAAUUCCCGGUGUAGCGGUGAAAUGCGUAGAGAUCGGGAGGAAUACCAGUGGCGAAGGCGGCCUUCUGGACUGACACUGACGCUGAGGUGCGAAAGCGUGGGUAGCAAACAGGAUUAGCUACCCGGGUAGUC